CCUUGACAUACUAAGAACUUUCCAGAGAUGGAUUGGUGCCUUCGGGAACUUAGAUACAGGUGCUGCAUGGCUGUCGUCAGCUCGUGUCGUGAGAUGUUGGGUUAAGUCCCGCAACGAGCGCAACCCUUUUCCUUAUUUGCCAGCGGGUCAUGCCGGGAACUUUAAGGAUACUGCCAGUGACGAACUGGAGGAAGGCGGGGACGACGUCAAGUCAUCAUGGCCCUUACGGCCAGGGCUACACACGUGCUACAAUGGUCGGUACAAAGGGUUGCUACCUCGCGAGAGGAUGCUAAUCUCAAAAAGCCGAUCGUAGUCCGGAUCGCAGUCUGCAACUCGACUGCGUGAAGUCGGAAUCGCUAGUAAUCGCGGAUCAGAAUGCCGCGGUGAAUACGUUCCCGGGCCUUGUACACACCGCCCGUCACACCAUGGGAGUUUGUUGCACCAGAAGUAGGUAGUCUAACCGCAAGGAGGACGCUUACCACGGUGUGGCCGAUGACUGGGGUGAAGUCGUAACAAGGUAGGCGUAGAUGA
rnacentral:rRNA from 1 species